ACGGCUCAGUAACACGUGGACAACCUGCCCUUAGGUUGGGGUAUAAACCCGGGAAACUGGGUAUAAUACCCGAUAGGUCUCGAUUGCUGGAAUGCAUCGAGAUUUAAAGCUCCGGCGCCUAAGGAUGGGUCUGCGGCCUAUCAGGUAGUAGUGGGUGUAGCGUACCUACUAGCCUACGACGGGUACGGGUUGUGAGAGCAAGAGCCCGGAGAUGGAUUCUGAGACACGAAUCCAGGCCCUACGGGGUGCAGCAGGCGCGAAAACUUUACAAUGCUGGCAACAGCGAUAAGGGAACCUCGAGUGCCAGGUUACAAAUCUGGCUGUCGAGAUGCCUAAAAAGCAUUUCAUAGCAAGGGCCGGGCAAGACCGGUGCCAGCCGCCGCGGUAACACCGGCGGCUCGAGUGGUAACCGUUAUUAUUGGGUCUAAAGGGUCUGUAGCCGGCCGGAUAAGUCUCUUGAGAAAUCUGGCAGCUUAACUGUCAGGCUUUCAGGAGAUACUGUCUGGCUCGAGGCCGGGAGAGGUGAGAGGUACUUCAGGGGUAGGGGUGAAAUCUUGUAAUCCUUGAAGGACCACCAGUGGCGAAGGCGUCUCACCAGAACGGACCUGACGGCAAGGGACGAAAGCUAGGGGCACGAACCGGAUUAGAUACCCGGGUAGUCCUAGCCGUAAACGAUACUCGCUAGGUGUCGGCCACGGUGCGACCGUUGUCGGUGCCGUAGGGAAGCCGUGAAGCGAGCCACCUGGGAAGUACGGCCGCAAGGCUGAAACUUAAAGGAAUUGGCGGGGGAG
rnacentral:rRNA from 1 species